rnacentral:lncRNA from 1 species
UCCUUUUGAUUUGGUCAUAGCCCAUCCUACUUUUUCCAUGUACUCAUGAAGUAGCAUGAUUAGCUUUUUCUCUUUCAGAUGAGGUGUGCCUCUAGCUCUCAUGUUUGCAUUCUUGGGAUGAUUGGGUAACAUUUUGAACUCCAAUUCAUAUUUCUCUAUGGCUAGCUGCAAUUUGGUACUGAAUUCAGGCAAAACAAACUCUACCUUAUCCGGAGGUUUGGGAAGGCAUUGAUCUG